AUUGAACGCUGGCGGCAGGCCUAACACAUGCAAGUCGAACGAGUGGCGGACGGGUGAGUAAUGCCUGGGAAACUGCCUGAUGGAGGGGGAUAACUACUGGAAACGGUAGCUAAUACCGCAUACCAUCGGAUGUGCCCAGAUGGGAUUAGCUAGUGGGUGGGGUAAAGGCUCACCUAGGCGACGAUCCCUAGCUGGUCUGAGAGGAUGACCAGCCACACUGGGACUGAGACACGGUCCAGACUCCUACGUGAGGCAGCAGUGGGGAAUAUUGCGCAAUGGGCGCAAACCUGAUGCAGCCAUGCCGCGUGUAUGAAGAAGGCCUUCGGGUUGUAAAGUACUUUCGGCAGGGAGGCGUUACCCGCAGAAGAAGCACCGGCUAACUCCAUGCCAGCAGCCGCGGUAAUAC
rnacentral:rRNA from 1 species